CCCGUCAGUCGGACACUAGGGGAAUUGGAACCUAGAUGCAAUUUAGUACACCAAAUAAUGGAUCCCCUGGGCACUGUUUAGUAGAUCUCCCUUCUUUCAAGAUAUACUUUUUGUUUGCAUAUCCUUUUUAUCCUUAGAUUGAAAGCGGUGUGAGGUAGUUCUGAUAUGGAGGUCUAUGACAGCGGUGUGAGGUAGUUCUGAUAUGGAGGUCUAUGACAGCGGUGUGAGGUAGCUCUGAUAUGGAGGUCUAUGACAGCGGUGUGAGGUAGCUCUGAUAUGGAGGACUAUGACAGCGGUGUGAGGUAGUUCUGAUAUGGAGGACUAUGACAGGGUGUGAGGUAGUUCUGAUACUAAGGACUGUGACAGGGUGUGAGGUAGCUCUGAUAUUGAGGACUGUGACAGGGUGUGAGGUAGCUCUGAUACGAAGGACUGUGACAGGGUGUGAGGUAGCUCUGAUAUGGAGGUCUAUGACAGCGGUGUGAGGUAGUUCUGAUAUGGAGGACUGUGACAGGGUGUGAGGUAGUUCUGAUAUGGAGGACUGUGACAGGGUGUGAGGUAGCUCUGAUAUGGAGGACUAUGACAGGGUGUGAGGUAGCUCUGAUAUGGAGGACUGUGACAGGGUGUGAGGUAGCUCUGAUAUGGAGGACUAUGACAGGGUGUGAGGUAGUUCUGAUACGAAGGACUGUGACAGGGUGUGAGGUAGCUCUGAUAUGAGGUUGCCAUUUCCGGGCCUCUUCCAGUCAAUGUCAGCUGGUUGAGGCUGGGCGGGGCGGGACUCC